rnacentral:misc_RNA from 1 species
GGAUGAGAUAUUCCACAUACCUCAAGCACAACAGUAUUGCAAAGGCAAUUUCAGAAGUUGGGAUCCCAUGAUCACCACUCCUCCGGGGCUGAAUAUUCUCUAUGAAAGACGAUCUUUCGUUUUCAGAUGCUUGUUCCUCUUCCAUCCUACGCUCCAGCAAUGGUGUAUUGGCUGUAUUUUGCAGCAUGAUGGUUUACAACAUACUUACCCACCUCAGACCUUCUC